rnacentral:rRNA from 1 species
UACGAGUGCCCCAAGCGUUAUCCGGAAUUAUUGGGCGUAAAGGGUGUGUAGGUGGUUAUGUUAGUCCUUUGUUAAAACUCUUGGCUUAACCAAGAAGGUGCGAAGGAAACGGCAUAACUUGAGAGUGUGAGAGGUGAGCGGAACUCAUGGUGUAGGGGUGAAAUCCGUUAAUAUCAUGGGGAACACCGAAGGCGAAGGCAGCUCACUGGCACAUUUCUGACACUGAAACACGAAAGCGUAGGUAGCGAAUGGG